rnacentral:tRNA from 1 species
GCCGCCUUAGCUCAGUCGGUAGAGCACUUGCCUUGUAAGCAUGUUGUCGUGGGUUCGAUUCCCACAGGCGGCU